GAUGAACGCUGGCGGCGUGCUUAACACAUGCAAGUCGAACGGGAUCCAUCAGGCUUUGCUUGGUGGUGAGAGUGGCGAACGGGUGAGUAAUGCGUGACCGACCUGCCCCAUACACCGGAAUAGCUCCUGGAAACGGGUGGUAAUGCCGGAUGCUCCGACUCCUCGCAUGGGGUGUCGGGAAAGAUUUCAUCGGUAUGGGAUGGGGUCGCGUCCUAUCAGGUAGUCGGCGGGGUAACGGCCCACCGAGCCUACGACGGGUAGCCGGCCUGAGAGGGCGACCGGCCACAUUGGGACUGAGAUACGGCCCAGACUCCUACGGGAGGCAGCAGUGGGGAAUAUUGCACAAUGGGCGCAAGCCUGAUGCAGCGACGCCGCGUGCGGGAUGACGGCCUUCGGGUUGUAAACCGCUUUUGAUCGGGAGCAAGCCUUCGGGUGAGUGUACCUUUCGAAUAAGCACCGGCUAACUACGUGCCAGCAGCCGCGGUAAUACGUAGGGUGCAAGCGUUAUCCGGAAUUAUUGGGCGUAAAGGGCUCGUAGGCGGUUCGUCGCGUCCGGUGUGAAAGUCCAUCGCUUAACGGUGGAUCUGCGCCGGGUACGGGCGGGCUGGAGUGCGGUAGGGGAGACUGGAAUUCCCGGUGUAACGGUGGAAUGUGUAGAUAUCGGGAAGAACACCAAUGGCGAAGGCAGGUCUCUGGGCCGUUACUGACGCUGAGGAGCGAAAGCGUGGGGAGCGAACAGGAUUAGAUACCCUGGUAGUCCACGCCGUAAACGGUGGAUGCUGGAUGUGGGGCCCGUUCCACGGGUUCCGUGUCGGAGCUAACGCGUUAAGCAUCCCGCCUGGGGAGUACGGCCGCAAGGCUAAAACUCAAAGAAAUAGACGGGGGCCCGCACAAGCGGCGGAGCAUGCGGAUUAAUUCGAUGCAACGCGAAGAACCUUACCUGGGCUUGACAUGUUCCCGACAGCCGUAGAGAUAUGGCCUCCCUUCGGGGCGGGUUCACAGGUGGUGCAUGGUCGUCGUCAGCUCGUGUCGUGAGAUGUUGGGUUAAGUCCCGCAACGAGCGCAACCCUCGCCCUGUGUUGCCAGCACGUCAUGGUGGGAACUCACGGGGGACCGCCGGGGUCAACUCGGAGGAAGGUGGGGAUGACGUCAGAUCAUCAUGCCCCUUACGUCCAGGGCUUCACGCAUGCUACAAUGGCCGGUACAACGGGAUGCGACACGGCGACGUGGAGCGGAUCCCUGAAAACCGGUCUCAGUUCGGAUUGGAGUCUGCAACCCGACUCCAUGAAGGCGGAGUCGCUAGUAAUCGCGGAUCAGCAACGCCGCGGUGA
rnacentral:rRNA from 1 species